GCCGGGGCCGGCAGGGGGCGCGCGCCUUGCGGCGGUGCGGAGCGCGGUUCCGGUUCCGGUCCCGGCUC